rfam:Dipodomys ordii contig_50535, whole genome shotgun sequence.
GGGAAUGUGGCUUAGUGGUAGAGUGCUUGCCUAGCAUGCAUGAAGCCCUGGGUUCCAUUCCUU